rnacentral:tRNA from 1 species
GGUUCCAUAGCUCAGCUGGAUAGAGCAACUGCCUUCUAAGCAGUAGGUCAUUGGUUCGAAUCCAAUUGGAAUCA